GGAGCUCUGGAUUGCCGCCUGGGUGGCCCAGCGCUUUCUCAUCUGCUCUGCUGUGCUGACAGGGCUGUUUACCCAGGCCCGGAGCCCCAGGCAGCCGUCAAGCUUGGAGGGCCCAGAAAACAGACUUGGAUAAUCAGAGCGGUGUCCCCUCGGUCUGGUGUCUUUUCCUGGAGUCAGCUAGGCUUCAGGGACUUGGUUUCCUCAGCACUAAAAUGAGAGGGUUGUCCUGGAGACCCUGAACCCUUCACCUCUAACGUCAAAGAGUGCUCAUGUUGUUGCAGAGCACCAGAUUUGAGCUCCCAGCAUCAUACAGUGAACUCCCACUGGGCUAUUUAUUUUAUAUAUGGACUAAAAGGAAAAUAAAUGUUGCCAGUCAAAAAGUACCAACUGAGAACGUGGAAUGGAGAAUAAGCAAGGAAUCCCUUGACUCGUGAUGACAGCAUAGAAAAGCAAAUCUUUAGGAAUCAGGAGGAACCCUCUGGUCUCCUGUAGAGGUAAUCACCUGGCUGUGGGUGGGACAGCACACCUGAGUCUCACUGGCUGGCUGUUGACUUCAAUAAGCCCUGUUUCUGGGUCUGUACUUCAUCUCUACCUUCACUCGUGAUUCCGAGCCUUUCUGAGCUCUGCCUGCAAAUUGAUAUAUCUGACCUCAGUCAUGUCUGCUGGGAUGAGAAUCAGCAGGUUCUAUUGGGGCAGAAUAAUCCUGGACGCAUCAGAAGGGAUCAGAGAGAUAACAUUGGAGGAGUUGUGUUUUCUGCUUGAGAAAGUGCUGUGAAAAAGUGCCUGUCUGCUCAUGACCACGUCUUUUGUCAAUAAGAGGAAAUGUGAGGUUUAGGCAAAGAUGGUGAGAUGGAGCUCAAAGCUGCAGAAGAGAAGGAAGGCUGGUGCUUCCUAAUGAGUGUCAAUCAAACCAUGUCCAUCUGUGGCCAGAUGGUGGAGGAUGGC